AAAGGGAGACCUAAUUCGGGUAUAAGACGAAAAAAUAGUAGUCGAAACCAAGAAUCAAUCCCAAAAGGUCGGAACGAGGUAUGUGGCUUUCAAACUAGGUUCUGGGUUCAUAAAAGACCUGAAUCAGGAACAAGGGCUAUUAGCUCAGGUGGUUAGAGCGCACCCCUGAUAAGGGUGAGGUCCCUGGUUCGAGUCCAGGAUGGCCCACCUGCACAAGUGGCAAAAACAAAGAAAAGAAGCGAGGAAUCAGCACCUUAUCUUACUUAUAUAGUAAGAGAGAAUGCUGGCUCUGAGUACAGAGUCCAGAGGAACCUUGAAAACUGCAUAGAGCUAGGUGAAAAAGCCAAAAAAGAAGACCGCAAG
rnacentral:tRNA from 1 species